UAGGGAAUCUUCCACAAUGGACGCAAGUCUGAUGGAGCAACGCCGCGUGAGUGAAGAAGGUCUUCGGAUCGUAAAGCUCUGUUGUUGGUGAAGAAGGAUAGAGGCAGUAACUGGUCUUUAUUGACGGUAAUCAACCAAA
rnacentral:rRNA from 1 species